rnacentral:lncRNA from 1 species
UAAAGCAAAAAGAAAUAAACAUCUCAAAUAGAUAAGCAGAAGUUGAACACGACUUUAAGAAAUUCAGAUCACUGAAUCAAAAUUCCAAGGUCCUAGCAUCCACAAUACUCGAGAGCAAGUUUACAAAUCCAUAUAUACACAUAAUUGAAAUUACAAUUUCAAUCAAAUGAGAAAUGCUUUAGCUCAGGCUGGUGAAUUUCCAUUCUUAUCCCAUUUAGUGACGUGCUCUCUUCCUUUGUGUAUAGUCACAUUCAUAGCAAUCUCCAUGUCUUGUUCAUUAGUUAACUAGUAUCGUGUUUCGAAAAUGCAAGACAAAUCUUGAGUACUGGUGACUGAACUUGAUUUAGCACCCGUUUCCUCUUCUUUAAUCCACUCCCAGUAACCACAUUUCACGCUGCAUGUAUUGAAUAAUUUACCUUUGUUGUCGGUGUUCUUCUCUACCUCGAAGCACUUCAAAAAGGCAUAUUUGCACCAUGGGCAGGUUCGUUUGUUCGGGCAUUCCACGUAAAAAUGUCCCUUUAGUCUGCAGCUAUGACAGACUCCAUAAUUGUUUCCUCUCAUUUUAAGUUGGAAAUCAAACACCAAACAAAAUGAUAAGCAUGACAUAUAUAUAAACAAAUGAAAACCUGACGACACAAUCAAAAGUGUCAUGCCUACUAAACAACUAAUAAUUUUUUUUUAUUUUUUUUUUAACAAAACAUGUUUCAAUAAAUAUUUUUCCUUUUUUCCACACACUGCUAUUUCCAAGUUUUACAAAUAUUAAAGAUUUCACUUUAAAAGCUUAUCCAUAACCAACUAAUUUUUGAAAAACGCUUCAAUUGCACAAAUGGUAAAGGAUUAUCGAAACAAAAAUAUUUGCAAAUAACAUGAGCAGAUCAAUAAUUGGGUACAAGUUUUUUCAGACCACGGAUUUAAAACAAAAAAAGAUCUAAAAGUACGGGCUGCUACAAAUUUCACCAAAGUCUUCUACAAUUCCACUCAAAAAGCUAAGUCUUUGUGACUGAAUCUAGUUAAUUUUCACUAUAUAUAUAUAUAUAUAUAUAUAUAUAAUCUUUGUGACUGAAUCUAGUUGUCUAGUUGGAGAAGAUGGACGGUAGCGGCUACAAAUCAACAAAAAGCAGUCGAAUGUCUCAAAAAUGGAAGAUCGAGUAUUUCGACAACAUAAAUUCCAUGGUUUUCGACGGUGUCUCUAUUGAGGAGCUGGAGACGAUGUCCAUCGGCGCUGCACAGAUGAGUUGAUGACUUAGGGAAAUAUGAGAAAUUUGUGAUAUGAAAAGGGUUACGAUUUGGGGUGAAAGGGGUAUGGUUUUUGGGCCGGCC